GCCCGUUUGGUCUAGAGGUAUGAUACCGCCUUCGGGUGGCGGUGGCCGUCGGUUCGAAUCCGGCAACGGGCC
rnacentral:tRNA from 3 species